ACUAUUUUGGCAGACAAGUGCAAUAAAUUUAGAAUUUAUCCAUGUAGAUUUCUCUACAAAUAGUA
rnacentral:tRNA from 1 species